AAUGAACGCUGGCGGCGCGCCUAAUACAUGCAAGUCGAGCGAGAAGACGUAGCAAUACGUUUGUAAAGCGGCGAACGGGUGAGGAAUACAUGGGUAACCUACCCUAGAGUGGGGAAUAACUAGCCGAAAGGUUAGCUAAUACCGCGUACGCUCCUUGGACUUCGGUUCAGGGAGGAAAGCGAUACCGAGGGUAUCGCGCUCUUGGAUGGGCUCAUGUCCUAUCAGCUUGNGGUGAGGUAACGGCUCACCAAGGCUUCGACGGGUAGCUGGUCUGAGAGGACGAUCAGCCACACUGGCACUGCGACACGGGCCAGACUCCUACGGGAGGCAGCAGUAAGGAUAUUGCGCAAUGGGCGAAAGCCUGACGCAGCGACGCC
rnacentral:rRNA from 1 species